GCAGUGGUAGUUCCAUGGUGGAUUUCUCGCUUUCCAUGCGGGAGACCCGGGUUUGAUUCCCAGCCAGUGUA
rnacentral:tRNA from 1 species